AUAGCACAGUGGUAGUGUAUUCGGCCCGUGACCGAGAGGUUGCCGGUUCGAAUCCGCCU
rnacentral:tRNA from 1 species